rnacentral:rRNA from 1 species
UUAAGCGAACAAGCGUACACGGUGGAUGCCCUGGCAGUCAGAGGCGAUGGAAGGACGUGCUAAUCUGCGAAAAAGCGCCGGUAAGGUGAUAUGAACCGUUAUAACCGGCGAUGUCCGAAUGGGGGAAACCCGGUGCACUUCGGUGCAUCAUCGUUAGCUGAAUACAUAGGCUAACGAGGCGAACCGGGGGAACUGAAACAUCUAAGUACCCCGAGGAAAAGAAAUCAACCGAGAUUCCCCCAGUAGCGGCGAGCGAACGGGGAACAGCCCAGAGCCUGAAUCAGCUUGUGUGUCAGUGGAACGGUCUGGAAAGGCCGGCGAUACAGGGUGACAGCCCCGUACACGAAGGCACACAGGCUGUGAGCUCGAUGAGUAGGGCGGGACACGUGAUAUCCUGUCUGAAGAUGGGGGACCAUCCUCCAAGGCUAAAUACUCCUGACUGACCGAUAGUGAACCAGUACCGUGAGGGAAAGGCGAAAAGAACCCCGGCGAGGGGAGUGAAACAGAACCUGAAACCGUGUACGUACAAGCAGUGGGAGCCUUCGUAAGAGGGUGACUGCGUACCUUUUGUAUAAUGGGUCAGCGACUUAUAUUCUGUAGCAAGGUUAACCGUAUAGGGGAGCCGAAGGGAAACCGAGUCUUAACCGGGCGUUAAGUUGCAGGGUAUAGACCCGAAACCCGGUGAUCUAGCCAUGGGCAGGUUUGAAGGUUGGGUAACACUAACUGGAGGACCCGAACCCGACUAAUGUUGAAAAAUUAGCGGAUGACCUGUGGCUGGGGGUGAAAGGCCAAUCAAACCGGGAGAUAGCUGGUUCUCCCGAAAGCUAUUUAGGUAGCGCCUCGUGAACUCAUCUCCGGGGGUAGAGCACUGUUUCGGCUAGGGGGCCAUCCCGGCUUACCAACCCGAUGCAAACUGCGAAUACCGGAGAAUGUUAUCACGGGAGACACACGGCGGGUGCUAACGUCCGUCGUGAAGAGGGAAACAACCCAGACCGCCAGCUAAGGUUCCCAAAGUCAUGGGUUAAGUGGGAAACGAUGUGGGAAGGCCCAGACAGCCAGGAUGUUGGCUUAGAAGCAGCCAUCAUUUAAAGAAAGCGUAAUAGCUCACUGGUCGAGUCGGCCUGCGCGGAAGAUGUAACGGGGCUAAACCAUGCACCGAAGCUGCGGCAGCGACGCUUAUGCGUUGUUGGGUAGGGGAGCGUUCUGUAAGCCUGCGAAGGUGUGCUGUGAGGCAUGCUGGAGGUAUCAGAAGUGCGAAUGCUGACAUAAGUAACGAUAAAGCGGGUGAAAAGCCCGCUCGCCGGAAGACCAAGGGUUCCUGUCCAACGUUAAUCGGGGCAGGGUGAGUCGACCCCUAAGGCGAGGCCGAAAGGCGUAGUCGAUGGGAAACAGGUUAAUAUUCCUGUACUUGGUGUUACUGCGAAGGGGGGACGGAGAAGGCUAUGUCGGCCGGGCGACGGUUGUCCCGGUUUAAGCGUGUAGGCUGACUUUCCAGGCAAAUCCGGAAAGUUAAGGCUGAGGCGUGAUGACGAGGCACCACGGUGCUGAAGUGACAAAUGCCCUGCUUCCAGGAAAAGCCUCUAAGCAUCAGGUAACAUCAAAUCGUACCCCAAACCGACACAGGUGGUCAGGUAGAGAAUACCAAGGCGCUUGAGAGAACUCGGGUGAAGGAACUAGGCAAAAUGGUGCCGUAACUUCGGGAGAAGGCACGCUGACAUGUAGGUGAAGCCCCUGCGGGUGGAGCUGAAGUCAGUCGAAGAUACCAGCUGGCUGCAACUGUUUAUUAAAAACACAGCACUGUGCAAACACGAAAGUGGACGUAUACGGUGUGACGCCUGCCCGGUGCCGGAAGGUUAAUUGAUGGGGUUAUCGCAAGAGAAGCUCCUGAUCGAAGCCCCGGUAAACGGCGGCCGUAACUAUAACGGUCCUAAGGUAGCGAAAUUCCUUGUCGGGUAAGUUCCGACCUGCACGAAUGGCGUAAUGAUGGCCAGGCUGUCUCCACCCGAGACUCAGUGAAAUUGAACUCGCUGUGAAGAUGCAGUGUACCCGCGGCAAGACGGAAAGACCCCGUGAACCUUUACUACAGCUUGACACUGAACAUUGAGCCUUGAUGUGUAGGAUAGGUGGGAGGCUUUGAAGCGUGGACGCCAGUCUGCGUGGAGCCGACCUUGAAAUACCACCCUUUAAUGUUUGAUGUUCUAACCUGGCGCCAUAAUCUGGCGUGGGGACAGUGUCUGGUGGGUAGUUUGACUGGGGCGGUCUCCUCCCAAAGUGUAACGGAGGAGCACGAAGGUCAGCUAAUCCUGGUCGGACAUCAGGAGGUUAGUGCAAUGGCAUAAGCUGGCUUGACUGCGAGAGUGACGGCUCGAGCAGGUGCGAAAGCAGGUCAUAGUGAUCCGGUGGUUCUGUAUGGAAGGGCCAUCGCUCAACGGAUAAAAGGUACUCCGGGGAUAACAGGCUGAUACCGCCCAAGAGUUCAUAUCGACGGCGGUGUUUGGCACCUCGAUGUCGGCUCAUCACAUCCUGGGGCUGAAGUAGGUCCCAAGGGUAUGGCUGUUCGCCAUUUAAAGUGGUACGCGAGCUGGGUUUAGAACGUCGUGAGACAGUUCGGUCCCUAUCUGCCGUGGGCGCUGGAGAAUUGAGGGGGGCUGCUCCCAGUACGAGAGGACCGGAGUGGACGCAUCACUGGUGUUCGGGUUGUCAUGCCAAUGGCACUGCCCGGUAGCUAAAUGCGGAAGAGAUAAGUGCUGAAAGCAUCUAAGCACGAAACUUGCCCCGAGAUGAGUUCUCCCUGAGACUAUAAGUCUCCUGAAGGAACGUUGAAGACGACGACGUUGAUAGGCCGGGUGUGUAAGCGCAGCGAUGCGUUGAGCUAACCGGUACUAAUGAACCGUGAGGCUUAACCUU